AUUAAGUCUAAUUUUGAAAUGUUUUAACUGAUGAAGGUUUUACAUAAUGGAUACAUUUCCUAUUAUAUAUAAUGCAAACCUGAAACACUCAUAUUAAAUGAU